UCAAGCGAACAAGUGCAUGUGGUGGAUGCCUUGGCGAUCACAGGCGAUGAAGGACGCGGUAGCCUGCGAAAAGCUACGGGGAGCUGGCAAACGAGCUUUGAUCCGUAGAUGUCCGAAUGGGGAAACCCGGCCCUUUUGGGUCAUCCUGGACUGAAUACAUAGGUCCAGUGAAGCGAACGCGGUGAACUGAAACAUCUAAGUAACCGCAGGAAAAGAAAUCAACCGAGAUUCCCAAAGUAGUGGCGAGCGAAAUGGGAUGAGCCUUGCACUCUUUAUUUGUAUUGUUAGCCGAACGCUCUGGAAAGUGCGGCCAUAGCAGGUGAUAGCCCUGUAGGCGAAAACAGUAUGAAAGAACUAGGUGUGCGACAAGUAGGGCGGGACACGUGAAAUCCUGUCUGAAGAUGGGGGGACCAUCCUCCAAGGCUAAAUACUCGUGAUCGACCGAUAGUGAACCAGUACCGUGAGGGAAAGGCGAAAAGAACCCCGGGAGGGGAGUGAAAUAGAUCCUGAAACCGCAUGCAUACAAACAGUCGGAGCCUCGCAAGGGGUGACGGCGUACCUUUUGUAUAAUGGGUCAGCGACUUACGUUCAGUAGCAAGCUUAACCGUAUAGGGCAGGCGUAGCGAAAGCGAGUCCGAAUAGGGCGUUCAGUUGCUGGGCGUAGACCCGAAACCAGGUGAUCUAUCCAUGGCCAGGAUGAAGGUGCGGUAACACGUACUGGAGGUCCGAACCCACUAACGUUGAAAAGUUAGGGGAUGAGCUGUGGAUAGGGGUGAAAGGCUAAACAAACCUGGAAAUAGCUGGUUCUCUCCGAAAACUAUUUAGGUAGUGCCUCGUGUCUCACCUUCGGGGGUAGAGCACUGUCAUGGUUGGGGGGUCUAUUGCAGAUUACCCCGCCAUAGCAAACUCCGAAUACCGAAGAGUGCAAUCACGGGAGACAGACAUCGGGUGCUAACGUCCGGUGUCAAGAGGGAAACAACCCAGACCGCCAGCUAAGGUCCCCAAAUAUAGCUAAGUGGGAAACGAAGUGGGAAGGCUAAAACAGUCAGGAGGUUGGCUUAGAAGCAGCCACCCUUUAAAGAAAGCGUAAUAGCUCACUGAUCGAGUCGUCCUGCGCGGAAGAUGUAACGGGGCUAAGCUAUAUACCGAAGCUGCGGAUGCGAGCUUGCUCGCAUGGUAGGAGAGCGUUCCGUAAGCCUGCGAAGGUGCCUUGUAAAGGGUGCUGGAGGUAUCGGAAGUGCGAAUGCUGACAUGAGUAGCGAUAAAGGGGGUGAAAGGCCCCCUCGCCGUAAGCCCAAGGUUUCCUACGCAACGUUCAUCGGCGUAGGGUGAGUCGGCCCCUAAGGCGAGGCAGAAAUGCGUAGCUGAUGGGAAGCAGGUCAAUAUUCCUGCACCAUUGUUAGAUGCGAUGGGGGGACGGAUCGCGGAAGGUUGUCCGGGUGUUGGAAGUCCCGGUCGCUGCAUUGGAGAAGGCGCUUAGGCAAAUCCGGGCGCGCAAUUCAAGGGUGUGGCGCGAGCUCCUUAGGGAGCGAAGCAAUUGGAAGUGGUUCCAAGAAAAGCCUCUAAGCUUCAGUCUAACGAUGACCGUACCGCAAACCGACACAGGUGGGCGAGAUGAGUAUUCUAAGGCGCUUGAGAGAACUCGGGAGAAGGAACUCGGCAAAUUGGUACCGUAACUUCGGGAUAAGGUACGCCCUUGUAGCUUGACUGGCCUGCGCCAGGAGGGUGAAGGGGUUGCAAUAAACUGGUGGCUGCGACUGUUUAAUAAAAACACAGCACUCUGCAAACACGAAAGUGGACGUAUAGGGUGUGACGCCUGCCCGGUGCCGGAAGAUUAAAUGAUGGGGUGCAAGCUCUUGAUUGAAGUCCCGGUAAACGGCGGCCGUAACUAUAACGGUCCUAAGGUAGCGAAAUUCCUUGUCGGGUAAGUUCCGACCUGCACGAAUGGCGUAACGAUGGCCACACUGUCUCCUCCCGAGACUCAGCGAAGUUGAAGUGUUUGUGAUGAUGCAAUCUACCCGCGGCUAGACGGAAAGACCCCAUGAACCUUUACUGUAGCUUUGCAUUGGACUUUGAACCGAUCUGUGUAGGAUAGGUGGGAGGCUAUGAAACCGGAACGCUAGUUUCGGUGGAGCCGUCCUUGAAAUACCACCCUGGUUUGUUUGAGGUUCUAACCUUGGCCCGUGAUCCGGGUCGGGGACAGUGCAUGGUAGGCAGUUUGACUGGGGCGGUCUCCUCCCAAAGCGUAACGGAGGAGUACGAAGGUACGCUAGGUACGGUCGGAAAUCGUGCUGAUAGUGCAAUGGCAUAAGCGUGCUUAACUGCGAGACCGACAAGUCGAGCAGGUGCGAAAGCAGGUCAUAGUGAUCCGGUGGUUCUGUAUGGAAGGGCCAUCGCUCAACGGAUAAAAGGUACUCUGGGGAUAACAGGCUGAUACCGCCCAAGAGUUCAUAUCGACGGCGGUGUUUGGCACCUCGAUGUCGGCUCAUCUCAUCCUGGGGCUGUAGCCGGUCCCAAGGGUAUGGCUGUUCGCCAUUUAAAGAGGUACGUGAGCUGGGUUUAAAACGUCGUGAGACAGUUUGGUCCCUAUCUGCCGUGGGCGUUGGAUAUUUGAAGGGGGCUGCUCCUAGUACGAGAGGACCGGAGUGGACGAACCUCUGGUGUACCGGUUGUCACGCCAGUGGCAUCGCCGGGUAGCUAUGUUCGGAAGAGAUAACCGCUGAAAGCAUCUAAGCGGGAAACUCGCCUUAAGAUGAGAUAUCCCUGGGGACUAGAUCCCCUUGAAGGGUCGUUCGAGACCAGGACGUUGAUAGGUCAGGUGUGUAAGCGCAGUAAUGCGUUCAGCUAACUGAUACUAAUUGCCCGUAAGGCUUGAUCC
rnacentral:rRNA from 1 species